rnacentral:piRNA from 1 species
UAUUAUGCCAGAUUUAACCACUGGGCCUUC